rnacentral:piRNA from 1 species
UAGGACGGUGAUUCAGCACGUAG